rnacentral:rRNA from 1 species
UACGUAGGGUGCAAGCGUUGAUCGGAAUUACUGGGCGUAAAGCGUGCGCAGGCGGUUAUGUAAGACAGAUGUGAAAUCCCCGGGCUCAACCUGGGAACUGCAUUUGUGACUGCAUGGCUAGAGUACGGUAGAGGGGGAUGGAAUUCCGCGUGUAGCAGUGAAAUGCGUAGAUAUGCGGAGGAACACCGAUGGCGAAGGCAAUCCCCUGGACCUGUACUGACGCUCAUGCACGAAAGCGUGGGGAGCAAACAGG